CUGAGUUGCAAAACUCCCAACCAUUGUGAACCUACCUAUCGUUGCUUCGGCGGGCGAGGCCCUCAGCGGCCUCGCGCCCACCCCCCUCGGGGGGAGGCAUGCCCGCCGGAGGUGCCGAAACUAUACGCUUGAUAUCAUUGGCCUCUCUGAGUAGCUUAUAAAUAAGUCA
rnacentral:misc_RNA from 1 species